UCUGCCCACUAUGACUCAUCUGUUCUAUGCUGAUUUGAUGAAUGUCUUGUAUGACAAAAACCAUUACAAACUGGUUUUGGGACAGAUCAACAUCGCAAAGAAUUUAAUUGACAAUGUUUCCAAAGACUAUGUUUGACUGAAGUAUGGGAUUUCCCUGUACCGCUGUAAACAACUGAAGCGUGCUUCUCUGGGUCGAAUGUGCACCAUCAUGAAGCGACAGAAGCAAAGCUUGGAAUACCUGGAACAAGGUCACCAGAGCUGAUGUUGAAGUCCAGCCCUAUGCCUUCACCACCAAGUCCUUGUUCGUCAGCCACAUGGAUUACAAAUACCUUUGUUGGCAGUGUUAUGUCAAGAAGAUGUGACCUUACUGAGGAAGACCAGAAAAUCAUUGCUGACCUUACUGUAGAGGGCAUCCCUGUCGUUGAAACCAGCAAUUCGAAUGAAUAGGGCGAGAUAAUUGUAAAAACAGAGGCCUGUGACAAACUUCUGUCCGAUCGUGUCCAUGGCAAAAUGAAGGGCAAGAAGGUGCAUGAUGUUCUCAACAGAUUGCAUUUAGCAGUACCUGCUAAGAGGGAUGAAAAGAGGGAACUAGGAUUGGCAGGAAAACAGUGGAGGUGGAUGCACCCAAACGCAAAACAGAGAGGGAGAUGGAGAUGAUUAUAUCCUGGACCUACAGAGUAUGUAUUUGGACAUUGACAUUCAUCAUUGUCUGAUGAAUAAAGAUGUAUAAAGAAUAAAUAUGAUGUGAUUCCCGAAAUAUGGGAGGGUCACAACUUUUCAGAUUAUAUCCACCCUAAAAUCAUGAAGGUGAGUGGGGCGUGAAUUGAUCUUGUUUUUGCGAUUCCAUGGAAUCAUUAACUUUAAUGGGGAUGCCUGGUCUAUUCAUUCAAAUUCUAUGGCUGCCACCUCCCUGAACAUCUAUCUCAUGCCCAUACUGGAGGAUCUGGAGAAGGAGGAGGAGCUGAAGGAGAAGGCAGGGGAGUACAAGACUGGUGAGGAUGAGGAGAUGCAGGAGAUCCGCCAGCUGGCCAAACAGAUCAGAGAGAAGAGGAAGCUAAAGAUUGUGUGCUCCAAAGACAAGGAUGUGCAUUGCCCCAGACUACCCAGAACUGUCAAGAAGGUUGAAAGAAACUCUGGAGAAGGAAAUGGGAGACCUUGGUCUGGACAUGACUGGCAAAGAUGAUAUGGCGAAGAAGGCCAAGAAGUUGAUGAAGAGCCAACAGAAGGACAUGAACUGCCAGGGGAAGAAGGGAGAGGCAGACAGACAUGUAUUUGACCUCAUGCCAAAACCAAUUUUUCUCUGGCAAGAGAAUGUCCGGAACAAACGAUGACAGAUAAAGGCAUUGAUCGAUGAGGUUUACCUUUUUUCAGUGUAAUCCAGCUUCUGUCAGAAUUGUAUACUUUUUCACUGGAGUAAAUCUGAAAAUAAUUCAGAAAUGGGCAAACAUGUAUCUUUCAUCAUAUUGAGGUAAUGAGUGUCACAAGUGACAUUCCUGGUUUUGGAAAGCUGCGUAGUGUAGCACAAACCUCAAUUCACCACAAGGUAUCAGCCAAACAUUUUAGUGGUAGUUUGACUUCUGUGUCACUUACAUGAACACCCACUGUCAAAGCUUCCAAUUGUUGUGGCUACCAAUUGUGAUAAAUAAUCUCAAAGCGCAUUCAAGUGAAGUGUACUUGAAUUGUAAACUGUAAAUGGAACGUAUUGCCUUAACUCCUAGAAUGUAUCAAUUGUAUUGCUUUGGAGUAGCUAGAAACAAAGAAGAUGAAGCUGCACACACACCGUAACAGUUAAGUCCUCUCAACAAAUGUGAGUUUCUUCUACUGUGUACACUGCAGUGGGGGAAGUGAUUAAAUGUAUAAACCAAAA